GGAUGGGUAGGGAAGCGGUAACCCGCCAGACUGUCAAUCUGGUGCCCGCAGGGGCGUCGUGGGUUCAAAUCCCACCCCAUGAC
rnacentral:tRNA from 1 species